rnacentral:tRNA from 1 species
UGUGGCUCAGUAGAUAGAGUGCUUGCCUAGCAUGCAUGAGGCUCUGGGUUCUGUCCCCAGCA